UACAGAGGUCCCAAGCGUUGUCCGGAUUUAUUGGGCGUAAAGAGCGUGUAGGCGGCUGGGUAGGUCCGUUGUGAAAACUCGAGGCUCAACCUCGAGACGCCGAUGGAAACCCUCCAGCUAGAGUCCGGAAGAGGAGAGUGGAAUUCCUGGUGUAGCGGUGAAAUGCGCAGAUAUCAGGAAGAACACCCGUGGCUAAGGCGGCUCUCUAGUACGGUACUGACGCUGAGACGCGAAAGCGUGGGGAGCGAACAGG
rnacentral:rRNA from 1 species